rnacentral:rRNA from 1 species
GGGUGACCUACCUCGAGGUGGGGGAUAACCCGGGGAAACCCGGGCUAAUACCGCAUAACAUCGUGAGAUCAAAGCGGCCCGCAAGGGUCGCGCCGUGAGAGGGGCCCGCGUCUGAUUAGCUAGUUGGUGAGGUAACGGCUCACCAAGGCGACGAUCAGUAGCCGGCCUGAGAGGGCGAUCGGCCACACUGGAACUGAGACACGGUCCAGACUCCUACGGGAGGCAGCAGUGGGGAAUUUUGCGCAAUGGGGGAAACCCUGACGCAGCAACGCCGCGUGGAGGAUGAAGGUCCUUGGAUUGUAAACUCCUGUCAGCAGGGAAGAACUCCUUACGGUGAAUAACCGUAAGGAUUGACGGUACCUGCAGAGGAAGCCCCGGCUAACUCUGUGCCAGCAGCCGCGGUAAUACAGAGGGGGCAAGCGUUAUUCGGAAUUAUUGGGUGCAAAGGGUAAGUAGUUGGCUUCGCAAACAGGGGUGAAAUCCCCAAGGACCUUCAUCCUCCACGCGGCGUUGCUGCGUCAGGGUUUCCCCCAUUGCGCAAAAUUCCCCACUGCUGCCUCCCGUAGGAGUCUGGACCGUGUCUCAGUUCCAGUGUGGCCGAUCGCCCUCUCAGGCCGGCUACUGAUCGUCGCCUUGGUGAGCCGUUACCUCACCAACUAGCUAAUCAGACGCGGGCCCCUCUCACGGCGCGACCCUUGCGGGCCGCUUUGAUCUCACGAUGUUAUGCGGUAUUAGCCCGGGUUUCCCCGGGUUAUCCCCCACCUCGAGGUAGGUCACCCACGUGUUACUCACCCGUCUGCCGCUCGACUCAGGUAU